UACGUAGGGGCCGAGCGUUGUCCGGAGUUAUUGGGCGUAAAGCGCGCGCAGGCGGCUUGACGCGCCCGACGUGAAAGCCCCCGGCUUAAUCGGGGAGGGUCGUCGGGUACGGUCAGGCUUGAGGGCGGGAGAGGGUGGUGGAAUUCCCGGUGUAGUGGUGAAAUGCGUAGAGAUCGGGAGGAACACCUGUGGCGAAGGCGGCCACCUGGGCCGACCCUGACGCUGAGGCGCGAAGGCGUGGGGAGCGAACGGG
rnacentral:rRNA from 1 species